rnacentral:rRNA from 1 species
GACGAACGCUGGCGGCGUGCCUAAUACAUGCAAGUCGAACGCUGAAGGAGGAGCUUGCUUCUCUGGAUGAGUUGCGAACGGGUGAGUAACGCGUAGGUAACCUGCCUGGUAGCGGGGGAUAACUAUUGGAAACGAUAGCUAAUACCGCAUAAGAGUAGAUGUCGCAUGACAUUUGCUUAAAAGGUGCAAUUGCAUCACUACCAGAUGGACCUGCGUUGUAUUAGCUAGUUGGUGAGGUAACGGCUCACCAAGGCAACGAUACAUAGCCGACCUGAGAGGGGUGGACGCCCCACUGGGAGGGAGAAACCGGCCAGACCCCCUAGGGGGGGCACAAGAGGGAAAUUUGCGGAAUUGGCGGGAAGUCUGGCCGGAAAACCCCGGGUGGGGUAAAGAGGUUUUGGGUCCGUAAAGCCGUUUUUAAAGGAAAAAACGGUGGGGGAAGGGGAAAUUCCACCCGUGACGGGAAUUUAUCAAGAAAGGGAGGCUAAAUACGUG